rnacentral:rRNA from 1 species
AGCGAACGCUGGCGGCAGGCUUAACACAUGCAAGUCGAGCGGGCACUUUCGGGUGUCCGCGGCGGACGGGUGAGUAACGCGUGGGAACGUGCCCUCCGGUUCGGAAUAACUCAGGGAAACUUGAGCUAAUACCGGAUACGCCCUUUUGGGGAAAGGCUUGCUGCCGGAGGAUCGGCCCGCGUCUGAUUAGCUAGUUGGUGAGGUAACGGCUCACCAAGGCGACGAUCAGUAGCUGGUCUGAGAGGAUGAUCAGUCACACUGGGACUGAGACACGGCCCAGACUCCUACGGGAGGCAGCAGUGGGGAAUAUUGGACAAUGGGCGCAAGCCUGAUCCAGCCAUGCCGCGUGAGUGAUGAAGGCCUUAGGGUUGUAAAGCUCUUUUAUCCGGGACGAUAAUGACGGUACCGGAGGAAUAAGCCCCGGCUAACUUCGUG